UCCUUAGCAUAUAUGAUGACAAGGGAUGCACUGAAUAUGGACAUGACCAUGCCCUCUUCCUACAGGGGCUGCACUGGUUUCCUAUUGUGUUCCUGGUGGAAAGGAAGUCAUGGUGAGCUGCUGCAUCCUCCAGCAGGCAGUAAGAACAAAGGAGUCCUUCCACAUGGCAGAGGAUAUAAAAGGCUCCUGAAACCCCUCCAUUUGGUCUCCAAUCCUGCUUCUAACCUCUGGAGGAACGCUGCUUGAAAUUGAAGCUCUGAACAAAGGACUGAACGACACAUCCAAGCUGGGAUGUUUGUACUCCAGAGACUUGAUUGGUUUAAAUCAGCAGUAAUCCCAUCAAGCCUAAAACAAGCCUAAAUUAAGAACUUUGCAAUUGUUGUAUGUAUUUGAUUCCAUUUAACCAAUUUUAACUCUCAUCUAUAUUUCUUUUCCUGAAUAAACCUUUAGAUU